UACAGAGGUGGCAAGCGUUGUUCGGAAUUACUGGGCGUAAAGGGCGCGUAGGCGGUCCGAUAAGUCCCGUGUGAAAGCCCCCGGCUCAACUGGGGAACUGCACGGGAAACUGACGGACUUGAGUUCGGGAGAGGGAAGCGGAAUUCCGGGUGUAGCGGUGAAAUGCGUAGAUAUCAGGAGGAAUACCGAUGGCGAAGGCAGCCCCCUGGGUCGAUACUGACGCUCAUGCACGAAAGCGUGGGGAGCAAACAGG
rnacentral:rRNA from 1 species